UGGGGAAUAUUGCACAAUGGGCGCAAGCCUGAUGCAGCCAUGCCGCGUGUAUGAAGAAGGCCUUCGGGUUGUAAAGUACUUUCAGCGGGGAGGAAGGUGUUGAGGCUAAUAACCUCAGCAAUUGACGUUACCCGCAGAAGAAGCACCGGCUAACUCCGUGCCAGCAGCCGCGAUAAUACGGAGGGUGCAAGCGUUAAUCGGAAUUACUGGGCGUAAAGCGCACGCAGGCGGUCUGUCAAGUCGGAUGUGAAAUCCCCGGGCUCAACCUGGGAACUGCAUUCGAAACUGGCAGGCUAGAGUCUUGUAGAGGGGGGUAGAAUUCCAGGUGUAGCGGUGAAAUGCGUAGAGAUCUGGAGGAAUACCGGUGGCGAAGGCGGCCCCCUGGACAAAGACUGACGCUCAGGUGCGAAAGCGUGGGGAGCAAACA
rnacentral:rRNA from 1 species